AACCCAUGAUGAGGGCACCGUCUCAAUAGAUCCUUAUAUCGCUUCCAUGAAUAAUAUAAAGUCUCUAAAUUGAUCUGAACAAAAGAAGAGAUGUCGUUCUUCAACUU
rfam:Gossypium raimondii chromosome 2, whole genome shotgun sequence.